GAAUAAGAAAAAACCCUGGAACCAAGCCAACCAAAAAGGUGAUGUUGCAGGUAGAGGAAGAUGUGGUGGUCAAAAGCCAGACAAGGGUCACAUUAAGUGUUACAAUUGUCAGAAGUAUGGUCACUAUUCUAGUGAUUGUCUAGAAAAGAAGAAGAAUCAAGAAACUUAUGCAAAGCUGGCGAAACAUGAAGAAGAAGACACGUUGCUGAUGGUUACAAUAAGAGAUGAAUGGAUAUGGCAUUACAUACUCGGCCAUCUCAAUUUUAAAGACAUCAGAGAUUUUAA
rnacentral:lncRNA from 1 species